AAAGAAUUUUCAUGAUCGGACAUUGGACAGACAUGUCAUUAGCAUGCACUACUGUGACGUAAAUGGAGUUCCACUUCUUUUCUUUUAGUGGCACAAUGGAUAUGACUGGCUGAAAAUCUUUCACCCAAUGUGGAACUGGAAGAUGAACAAGCUAGCUGGAGAGAGUUCCACCUUUCUAGGAGCUGGUCCAUUCUCCGAGUUGGAAUUUUGUUACGGUUUAGUUUGAACUUGAAACAUAAGGAUUCGAUUUAGGGGAAAAAAAAUUAUUUAAAAUAUCAAAUCUCAAGCGCUUGCUUAUAUAUAUAUAUAACAAAUAAUACAUUUAUAUAUAUAUAUAUAUAUA
rnacentral:misc_RNA from 1 species